AUGGAAGGUCCACCUGGUCUCCAUGACCCUUGGCAUGAGGUGGGAGGUCCUCCAAGACCAUGGGCCCACAGAAGGUCCACCCCCGACCCCAUAACUCCUCCGACCUUCUCUCCCCCUGCAGCCUGCGAAGCUUCAGGGCCACAGGUUCCCCCGGAGGUCCAAGUCCUCUCCAGCAGCUCCUGCCGGCAUGGGGCCGAGGAGGGGGUGGAGCUCCUCUGCGUCAUCUCCGGCUUCUCCCCGGCCACGGUGGACAUCGAGUGGUUGGUGGACGGCGUCCCCGGCCUCUUCCCGGCCACCAGGACCUGGCCGAGACGUGAAGAUGGGGCCACCACCUUCUCGGCCACCAGCAGGACCAACGUCAGCCGAGCGGAUUGGUUGGAGGGGAGGACCUUCACCUGUCAGGUGACCCACCCGGCCACCGGCGCCGUGGUGCAGGACCACGCCCGGCUCUGCUCCGGCCUGUCCAUCCCCAACCCCAGCAACAUUGUCCUCUACGUCCUCCCUCCCACCGCGGCCGACCUCUACCUGACCCGGCGGCCAAAGGUCCUCUGCAUGGCCACCAACCUGCCCAGCGACUCCGGGUUCCAGCUCUCCUGGAGCAAGGAGACCCCGGGUGUCCUCAGCCCGGACUUCUUGGACCUCCGCGAGCAGUUCAACGGGACCUUCACGGCCACCAGCGCCUUGGUCAUCUCCACCCAGGAGUGGGAGGCUGGAGAAAGGUUCACCUGCUCGGUCAAGCACGAGGAGCUCCAGGUGCCCCUCAACAGGAGCGUGGUCAGGCUGGCCGGCAAGGUCACCCCACCCGAGGUCUUCGUCCUCCCGCCCCACCCCGACGAGAUGACCCAAGCCAAGCUCACCCUCACCUGCCUCAUCCAAGGCUUCCAACCCGGCGACCUCCAGGUCCAGUGGCUGAAGAACCACCAGGAGGUCCCCAAGACGGACUACGUCACCACCCCGGCCCUGAAGGAAGGUCCCAAGGAGGCCACCUUCUUCCUCUACAGCAAGAUGGCCGUGGCCAAGAGCAGCUGGGAGGCAGGGGACAUCUACACCUGCAUGGUGGUCCACGAAGGGUUGUCCAUGAAGUUCACCCAACGCCAGGCCCAGAAGGGCCCCG